GCUUGCGGCCACGCCAGCCUGAAUGCGCCCGAUCUCGUCUGACCUCGGAAGCCAAGCAGUGUCGGGCCUGGUUAGUACCUGGAUGGGAGACCGCCUGGGAAUACCAGGUGCUGUAAGCU
rnacentral:rRNA from 1 species